rnacentral:lncRNA from 1 species
ACCGAAGCUCCCAAAGAAGUAUUGCUUUGAACGAAAUAUCAACAAGGCCUGCAAGUGUUAGAAUAUUCAUAAAAAGAUGAAAAAAAGUAGUAUAAGUAAGAUAAUACAUGUACUUAGUAAGCAUCGUAGGCUGAUUUAGAUAGAGUUAGAUAACUAUAUCAUAAGAAGUAUGAAAUGUACCAAGACCAAUUCAUAAGUUCAAUUCAUUACAUGUCAUGAUCCAAAAUAGGAUUAUGAUGGUGCCUACCAUAAACCCCGUGUAGGCAAGGCAAAACCCCCAACUUUGAGCGAUGAAUAUACCAAAAGAUACAACUAUGCGGAAGCAAUAAGAAGAAGAAGAGAGGUUUGUUGCAUAAACAUGUAUAAAAUAAUACAAAAUAUAUAAAAAAGGGUUUGAAAGUGACCGAGAAAGAAAAAUUAUAUACAAGAACCAACCCCGAACCUGGUGUUACCGGCACAAGAGCGUCUUAACACAAAAAUUUCUAUAUACAUCAAAUUUGUUUAAUCAAAACAAAAUACAUAGACAAUAGAAAAAGAAAAAAAAAACAAUCUCUGAAAAUCAAAAGCUCACUACAAUCCAAAUCAACAAUAGCAACAUGAUAUUUGAACUUAGCGAGGGUGGCUUCUACUAAGAGCUGCAUCACAAAAAAAAGUGUAGUAUGAGUACCAAAAUAUGGAGUGCUAAGUAGGCAUCAUAUGCCGAUCGAGUUCAAUAAAGACUAUAUAAACAAAGAGGCACAAUAGUGCUAACACUACAUCUUAGUAGCUAAUGAGAGAUAUACCAACCACGAUAGUGAAGAUAAUAACAAUAAGCACAUAACAACUAAUACAAGACAAUCG